GAUGAACGCUAGCUACAGGCUUAACACAUGCAAGUCGAGGGGCAUCAGGAAGAAAGCUUGCUUUCUUUGCUGGCGACCGGCGCACGGGUGAGUAACACGUAUCCAACCUGCCGAUGACUCGGAGAUAGCCUUUCGAAAGAAAGAUUAAUACCCGAUGGUAUAUCUGAAAGGCAUCUUUCAGCUAUUAAAGAAUUUCGGUCAUUGAUGGGGAUGCGUUCCAUUAGGUUGUUGGCGGGGUAACGGCCCACCAAGCCAUCGAUGGAUAGGGGUUCUGAGAGGAAGGUCCCCCACAUUGGAACUGAGACACGGUCCAAACUCCUACGGGAGGCAGCAGUGAGGAAUAUUGGUCAAUGGACGAGAGUCUGAACCAGCCAAGUAGCGUGAAGGAUGACUGCCCUAUGGGUUGUAAACUUCUUUUAUACGGGAAUAAAGUUAGGCACGUGUGCCUUUUUGUAUGUACCGUAUGAAUAAGGAUCGGCUAACUCCGUGCCAGCAGCCGCGGUAAUACGGAGGAUCCGAGCGUUAUCCGGAUUUAUUGGGUUUAAAGGGAGCGUAGGCGGAUGCUUAAGUCAGUUGUGAAAGUUUGCGGCUCAACCGUAAAAUUGCAGUUGAUACUGGGUGUCUUGAGUACAGUAGAGGCAGGCGGAAUUCGUGGUGUAGCGGUGAAAUGCUUAGAUAUCACGAAGAACUCCGAUUGCGAAGGCAGCUUGCUGGACUGUAACUGACGCUGAUGCUCGAAAGUGUGGGUAUCAAACAGGAUUAGAUACCCUGGUAGUCCACACAGUAAACGAUGAAUACUCGCUGUUUGCGAUAUACAGUAAGCGGCCAAGCGAAAGCGUUAAGUAUUCCACCUGGGGAGUACGCCGGCAACGGUG
rnacentral:rRNA from 1 species